rnacentral:rRNA from 1 species
AUUUAGAGGAAGUAAAAGUCGUAACAAGGUCUCCGUAGGUGAACCUGCGGAGGGAUCAUUACAAGUGACCCCGGUUUACCACCGGGAUGUUCAUAACCCUUUGUUGUCCGACUCUGUUGCCUCCGGGGCGACCCUGCCUUCGGGCGGGGGCUCCGGGUGGACACUUCAAACUCUUGCGUAACUUUGCAGUCUGAGUAAACUUAAUUAAUAAAUUAAAACUUUUAACAACGGAUCUCUUGGUUCUGGCAUCGAUGAAGAACGCAGCGAAAUGCGAUAAGUAAUGUGAAUUGCAGAAUUCAGUGAAUCAUCGAAUCUUUGAACGCACAUUGCGCCCCCUGGUAUUCCGGGGGGCAUGCCUGUUCGAGCGUCAUUUCACCACUCAAGCCUCGCUUGGUAUUGGGCAACGCGGUCCGCCGCGUGCCUCAAAUCGACCGGCUGGGUCUUCUGUCCCCUAAGCGUUGUGGAAACUAUUCGCUAAAGGGUGCUCGGGAGGCUACGCCGUAAAACAACCCCAUUUCUAAGGUUGACCUCGGAUCAGGUAGGGAUACCCGCUGAACUUAAGCAUAUCAAUAAG